UUAUAAGAUCCCUCAAAGAUGAUGAGGUUAAUAGGUUCGAGGUGGAAGCAUGGUGACAUGUGGAGCUGACGAAUACUAAUCGAUCGAAGACUUAAUCAA
rnacentral:rRNA from 1 species